AAGCCAAUUGGGAUCACUUGCUAAGUUUAAGCAUAUCAAAAUGUGGAGGAAAAGAAACUUACCAAGAUUCUUUUAGUAGCGGUGGGUGAACUAAGAAGAGCCCAACUUAAGAAUCGAGCACCUCUAGCAUCCGAAUUAUAGUUUAGAGAAGCAUCAUUAGUGGUGGACUGUGCCCAAGUACCCUAAAAAGGGGCCUUAGAGGGUGAGAACCCCGUUAUGCCUGAGCCCAACCACACCAUGAAGCAUUGUCUGUAAGUCAGGUUGUUUAGGAAUGCAACCCCAAUCGGGUGGUAAAUUUCAUCCAAGGCUAAGUACGAGUGAGAGAUCGAUAUCAAACAAGUACCAAAGGGAAAGAUGAAAAAGACUUUGAAAAAAAAGUCAAAGAGUGCUUGAAAUUGUUAUGAAGGAUGUGGAUAGGGGUUGGCGAUGCACCCCCAUCAAAUCUACAAUGGUAAGAGUUGGUCUACUAAUUUGCUUGAGGCAUGGACUCACGCAGCUUACGACGGUGACCCAAGCCCAAGCUUUCAAUAUGCCUGUGGUGAUGUCAUUGCUGAGAUUGAAGAAUGUAGCAUGCACUAUCUCACCAUGCCUCAACAUCGGUGCGCUCUUGACGUUGGCCUACAAGCUCCCCAUAUGGCCUGUCUUGAAACACAGAUUAAGGAGUCUAACAUGUGUGCAAGUCAAUCGACUAGAAAACCAGUAAGGCACAAAGACGCUAAUUGGCGAGAUCCUAUACGAGUGCACCACUGACCGACCUUGAUCUUCUGAGAAAGGUUCGAGUACGAGCAUACAUGUUGGGGCUUAAAAGAUGGUGAACUAUGCCUGAGCAAGGUGAAGCUAAAGGAAACACUAGUGAAGGCUUGCACCAAUACUAAUGCGUAAAUCAUUCAUCUGACUUGGAUAUAGGGGCGAAAGACUAAUCGAACCAUCUAGUAGUUGGUUUCCUCCAAAGUUUCCCUCAAGAUAGCUAGAGCCCUUAGCAAGUUUCAUCGGGUAAAGCUAAUGAUUAAAGGUAUUAGGGGCACAAUGCCCUCAACCUAUUCUUAAACUUUAAAUAGGUAGGAUGAUGCGGUUGCUUUGUUGAGCCAUGCCAUAGAAUUGAGAGCUCCAAGUGGCCAUUUUUGGUAAGUAAAACUAGUGAUGCAAUAUGAAUUAGAAGCCAAGUUACGAUGCCUAACUGCUCGCUAACCUAGACCCCACAAAUGGUGUUCGUUGAUUAAGACAGCAUGAUAGUGCUCAUGGAAGUCGAAAUCCACUAAGAAGUGUGUAACAACUCACCUGUCGAAUCAACUAGCUCAAAAAAUGGACGGCACUUAAGCACGGGACCUAUACCAGGUUGUAAGGGCAAUGGCCAAGCCCUGAUGGGUAAGAGGGUGCGAUAAUCACCAUAAAAUUGAAGUGCGAACCCAGGUGGUACGGUCAUCAGUACAAAUCUUAGUGGUAGUAGCAAAUAUUCAAAUGAGAACUUUAAGGCCGAAGAGAGGAAAGGUUCCAUGUGAAUGACACUUGCACAUGGGUUAGUCGAUCCUAAGAGAUGGGGAAAGCUUGUCCAACAGCGCAUCUAGCACGAGCUUCAAAAGGGAAUUAGGUUAAAAUUCUUGAACUAGGAUGCAGCAACUGACAGAAACAUUAGGGAGUCUGGAGAUGUUAGCAAAGGCCUUGAGAAGAGUUAUCUUUUCUAUUUAAUAGCCUUUCCACCUUAAAAAUGACUCAGCUGAAAGUAGGGUCCAAUAGUCGAAGGAGCAUCACACAUCAUAUGGUGUUCGGUGCACCCCUGGUGGCCCUUGAAAAUCUAAAAGACUGAGUGCUGUUUAUGCCUGGUCAUACUCAUAACCACAUCAGGUUCUAAGGUGAACAACCUUUGGUCGAUGGAAUAAUGUAGGCAAGGAAAGCCAGCAAAAUGGAUCUAUAACCUCAAGAAAAGGAUUAGCUCUGAGGGUUGGGCACAAGGGUCCCAGUCCCAAACCCAUUGACUACCAAUGCACUACUUGAGCUACUUUCACAAAAAGAAUGGGUCAUCGUAUGUCGAUCGAGGGAUAGACUAGUAAUGGCACCCUUAGAGGCCUUCUCUGGAUGAUGAACAGUUAACUUAAAACUGGUACAGAUAAAGGGAAUUUGACUUUUAAUUAAAACAAAGCAUUGUGAUGGUCCCUAUUGAUACUCACGCAAUGUGAUUUUUACCCAGUGCUCUGAAUGUCAAAGUGAAGAAAUUCAACUAAACACGGGUAAAUGGUAGGAGUGACUAGGACUCUCCUAAGGUAGCCAAAUGCCUUGUCAUCUAAAUAGUGUGUGCUUUAAUGAUUAACGAGAUUCUCAUUGUCCCUAUCUAUUAUCUAGUGAUUCAUAGCCAAGGGAAUGGGCUUGGUAGAAUCAAUGGGGAAAGAAAACCCUGUUGAGCUUGAAUCUAGUUUGACUUUGCGAAAUGACUUGAGAGGUGAGUAUAAGUGGAAGCCCUCGGGCAAAACUGAAAUACAACUACUUUUAACAUUAUUUUACUUAUUCCAUGAAUUAGAUGUGGGGCACAACCCCUUCUUUUGGACCCAAGGUUAACCUCUGUCAGUCAAUUUGGGCAGAAAACAUUGUUAGGUAGGGAGUUUGGCUAGGGUGGCACAUCUGUUAAAAGAUAAUGUAGGUGUCCUAAGAUGAGCUCAACGAGAAUAAAAAUUUCAUAUGGAACAAAAGGGUAAAUGCUCAUUUGAUUCUGAUUUUUAGUAUGAAUAUAAACCAUGAAAGUGUGGCCUAUCGAUCCUUUAGACCUUCAAAAUUUGAAGCUAGAGGUGUUAGAAAAGUUACCACAAGGAUAGCUGGCUUAUGGUAGCCAAGCAUUCAUAGCGACAUUGCUUUUUUAUCCUUCAAUGUCAGCUCUUCUUAUCCUUGUGAAGUAGAAUUCACCAAGUGUUGGAUUGUUCACCACCAAUAAAGAACGUGAGAUAGGUGUAGACUAUCAUAAGAUAGGUUAGUUUUACCCUACUGAUAAUAGCAUUGCAAUAGUAAUUCAACCUAGUAUGAGAGAAAUCAUUGAUUUGCACAAUUGGUCAUUGCAUUUGGUUAAAAAUUCUAUAGUGUGAAGCUAUCAUGUGUUGGAUUAUGACUAAAUGUCUUUAAGUCAGACUCUGGGCUUGAAGUGAUGCAUAUGCCCAUUGCUUGAUUGUCGACCCACAGUAGAGGCUCAUGGCCUCUAAGGGCAUGUGUUAUUGUUAAAGACCCCAUGGCAAACAAGUUGUGUAGGCCUCCUUAAAGCUCAAUUCCCAUCAAG
rnacentral:rRNA from 1 species